rnacentral:rRNA from 1 species
AUUUUAGUGGCGGACGGGUGAGUAACACGUUGGUACCUACCCUCUAGUGGGGAAUAACUUCGAGAAAUCGAGGCUAAUACCGCAUAAUAUCUACGGAUUAAAGCAUUUAUGCGCUAGAGGAGGGGCCUGCGUCUGAUUAGCUUGUUGGUGAGGUAAAAGCUCACCAAGGCGACGAUCAGUAGCUGGAUCGAGAGGUUGACCAGCCACACUGGGACUGAGAUACGGCCCAGACUCCUACGGGAGGCAGCAGUAAGGAAUCUUCCACAAUGGGCGAAAGCCUGAUGGAGCAAUGCCGCGUGCAGGAUGACGGCCUUCGGGUUGUAAACUGCUUUUAUAUGGGAAGAUUAUGACGGUACCAUAUGAAUAAGGACCGGCUAACUACGUG